UGGGCCGGUCGGGGGAGGGGCUUUGGGGUAAGAGCGCUGAGGUGACGAGAGGCUGGGAACGGAGGUCUUCCGGUCUGAGGUGCUGAGGUCUCAGGAUCGAGGGAUGAAAGAGAAGAGAUCUUCACUGAGAGAAUGUAAUUCCUCCUGGACCGGAGCAUAAAGUACCCGAAACUAGAGAUCGGUUUCUCUGAAACUGGAGGAUCAAUCCCACACAACUCAUUAUCGCAUUGCAACCUGAGACUGGAAGUGCCUGGGGGCGGGAGGCGUUUCUCAGAGUGGAGCUCAGUCAUCCUGCAGAGCAGGGCACCAGUCCAAGGCUGCGGAAACAGCACAACAAUAACCGACUGCUUUCUGGUUAAGAAAAAACAAGAACCCAGUAGCAAGGCAGUACUAAAGGCUGGCAAACCACUGCAAACUGAUUGGUUUCACAUCCACAGAUUUCCCUGAGGUGAUGCAGUCUUAAAGACCCAAAGAGCUGGAAAAAUACCUUGGAUACCUGUGAUCUUGUUUGUGAUAGAGGAAGGAUUCCAGGGACAGCAUGACCAAAAGAGGAGGACAGGACGAAGAUGGUUGAAAGGAGUGAGAGUAUUCAGAG
rnacentral:lncRNA from 1 species